GUUUCCGUGGUGUAGUUUGUUAUGACUUCAGUCUAAGACACUGAAGGUCUCCAGUUUGAACCUGAAAGGAAACA